rnacentral:rRNA from 1 species
UUGCUAGGUGGAUUAGUGGCGAACGGGUGAGUAACACGUGAGUAACCUGCCCCUGACUCUGGGAUAAGCCUGAGAAAUUGGGUCUAAUACUGGAUAUGAACAUUUACCGCAUGGUGGGUGUUGGAAAGAUUUUUUGGUUGGGGAUGGACUCGCGGCCUAUCAGCUUGUUGGUGAGGUAGUGGCUCACCAAGGCGACGACGGGUAGCCGGCCUGAGAGGGUGACCGGCCACACUGGGACUGAGACACGGCCCAGACUCCUACGGGAGGCAGCAGUGGGGAAUAUUGCACAAUGGGCGAAAGCCUGAUGCAGCGACGCCGCGUGAGGGAUGACGGCCUUCGGGUUGUAAACCUCUUUCAGUAAGGAAGAAGCGAAAGUGACGGUACUUGCAGAAGAAGCGCCGGCUAACUACGUGCCAGCAGCCGCGGUAAUACGUAGGGCGCGAGCGUUAUCCGGAAUUAUUGGGCGUAAAGAGCUCGUAGGCGGUUUGUCGCGUCUGCCGUGAAAGUCCGGGGCUUAACUCCGGAUCUGCGGUGGGUACGGGCAGGCUAGAGUGCAGUAGGGGAGACUGGAAUUCCUGGUGUAGCGGUGAAAUGCGCAGAUAUCAGGAGGAACACCGAUGGCGAAGGCAGGUCUCUGGGCUGUAACUGACGCUGAGGAGCGAAAGCAUGGGUAGCGAACAGGAUUAGAUACCCUGGUAGUCCAUGCCGUAAACGUUGGGCACUAGGUGUGGGG